GAGGAAGCAAGGAAGCAAAGGCGACGCUAGAUCGGGAAGGGGGAAUAAAGGAUUCUCUAAGGAGCCUUCAGAUUACAGAACUCCAAGGACUGGCACAUAACGUUCCUUAAACGUUGGAAGCGUGUAGGAACGCGCAACAUCCAGUAGUGCGCGGGAAAACAGGGCGUGAGACGCGAUCGAUCGAGCAUCAGGGGUCCGUUCAACGCUGAAUCCCCUCCCAUCAUCUAUCCCGACGGUGUCUCAACCUCAGCUUGCUGUCACAAGGCUCGCCAUCGUCCUCUGUCAACAAGAUGCGCGAUUGUUAAAAAGUGCAACUUUUACCAGUGACUUCAGACAAAUCCUUCUCACCUGAACACGCACGGCCACUCAGGUUCUUACACAGUACAGUAUCAACUAGACACCGAAUUUACUUUUGCUCUAGUCAAAACAGAUAAUGAUGACUACAUGAAUGAAGUGAAUGUAGAUGAACACAAAGGAAGACCACAAGAGCAUGAUGAUCCAUGGAUAUUGUACUUGAAUUGACAACAAAUGGACCAGGGAUAAAUUACUAAGCAGUUAAAAUGGUAAUAUUUCAAGGAUUAUAACGUCGCUUCACGUUAAUGCUCUACAUCUACCCUGUAGAUCCGAAUUUGUUUGAUAAUGGGCGACAAAUUCGGUUCUAGAGAGGUUUGUGUGGUGCAUACAAAGCAACGUGACAAGGUGUUUUAAUGUGGUCUUACAAAAUAUGGCAACAACCUUAAUGAAACAAGAAUUUCGGCAAGAACAUUCUAUGGAAACAAAAUCGCACGGCAGCUGCAACUUUUAUUUACACUUAUUAAUGACAUUAGUUAAGCUAAGUAUAGGAUAUUAAUUGUACUGCUAAUAGUAAUAUUAAAACU